CAUGGUUGCAUAAUUAAUGACCACGGCAAUUAAGAUUAUUCACCUUAACUUUGCCCUCUCGCACCGUUUUCUGCAAGGCCAUCGACCCUCCCCCUGCCCUGGCUGCUGAAAUUACAAACAGCAGCGGGUGUCAACCACAGAGGAGAAAAAAAAAAAAAAAAAAGCACCGAAGGCAUUGCAACACACUGCAUUUGGCACAAGAUAAGGCCAGAGGUGCCAAGGUUUAGCCCUUUUUAUUUUCACAGAAUAAGGUCAGAAAUAAACAGGUGCAAUCUCCCAGCCUGAGGCAAACCCGCUCGGGAUGAAGGGUUGUGGAGCUCUCUUUAUGUGUAAGAAUGUUUUGUGGACAAAACCAGCUCAGAUUAGAGUUGGGAGGCACAUGUAAGCACUGCAAACAGUGUUCAGGUGUACAAGGAUGGCAAGAAGGAAGAGGAGGAAGAUGCUAAAAAAACACCCAAUGAGAGACUCUCCCAGCUGGACCAGAGAUGUUGAGCUUUCAGACCACCAGCUGAGCCUGAAUUUGUGACCCAGUGAUGUGCAACACUGACACCCAAGCCCGAGAAGCUGCUCCUGUGGUGCUGCAGUGGCUCAGCUCUUCCCUCAGUGCUCCACUCCACAGGAUGACCAAUAUCAGCCACAGGAGAGAAAAAGAAAUAAGAGUGUUAAAAACUGUCAAAAUAGAGAAAAGUUACUCAACUCCAAAAAAAUCACACUGCAUGAAGCUAAAAAAAA